rnacentral:lncRNA from 1 species
CACGAUUCAAAGAAGUUGGCUCGGAUACUCUGUCUCAGCUUAUACAAAAAUUGGCAAAUAGUGGAUGUCCUGUAAAUUGCAUAGUAUAUGAUCCAUACCUUAAUUGGGCUGUUGAAGUGGCAACAAAAUUUGGAUUAGUUAGUGCUGCAUUUUUCACACAAAAUUGUGCAGUGGAUAACAUUUAUUAUCAUGUACAUAAAGGGGUAAUAAAAUUUCCACCUACUCAAAAUGAUAAAGAAAUCAUAAUUCCUGGAUUUUCAUGUCCAAUUGAGGCAUCAGAUGUACCUUCUUUUGUUUUUAGGCCUGAAGCAGAAAGAAUAAUUGAAAUGAUGGUAAAUCAAUUCUCAAAUCUUGACAAAGUUGAUUGGGUUCUAAUCAACAGCUUCUAUGAGUUGGAGAAAGAGGUAACAUAUUUAUAUAGAUGUUUAAUCGAAGUUAUACAAAAAAUGAACUGACAAAAUCAUCUCUUUAAAAAAAUAAAAUCAAGAGAUUCAAGAUACAUCUUAUUUUGUUUUUAUUGUUUGUCAUGUAGGUAAUUGAUUGGAUGUCCAAGAUAUAUCCAAUAAAGACAAUUGGACCAACAAUACCAUCAAUGUACUUAGACAAGAGACUACAUGAUGACAAAGAGUAUGGUCUUAGUAUCUUCAAGCCAAUGACAAAUGAAUGCCUAAAUUGGUUAAAUCAUCAACCAAUUAGCUCAGUGGUGUAUGUAUCAUUUGGAAGUUUAGCCAAAUUAGAAGCUAAGCAAAUGGAAGAAUUAGCAUGGGGUUUGAAGAAUAGCAACAACAACUUCUUGUGGGUUGUUAGGUCCACUGAAGAAUCCAAACUUACCAAGACCUUUAUAGAGGAAUUAACAAUUGAAAAAGGACUAGUGGUGUCAUGGUGUCCACAAUUACAAGUGUUGGAACAUGAAUCAACAGGGUGUUUUCUGACACACUGUGGGUGGAAUUCGACUCUGGAAGCAAUUAGUUUGGGAGUGCCAAUGGUGACAAUGCCACAAUGGACAGAUCAAACAACAAAUGCAAAACUUGUGAAAGAUGUUUGGGAAAUAGGUGUUAGAGCCAAACAAGAUGAAAAGGGAAUAGUUAGAAGAGAAGCUAUAGAAGAAUGUAUAAAAUUAGUGAUGGAAGAAGAGAGAGGAAAAUUAAUUAGGGAACAUGCAAAGAAAUGGAAAGAAUUGGCUAGAAAUGUUGUGGAUGAAGGAGGAAGUUCAGAUAAAAAUAUUGAAGAAUUUGUUUCCAAGUUGGUUACUAUAUCCUAAGUAAUUAAGAACCAUAAAAAAUAAUUAAGAAGUUGAUUUGUAUUUUGUAAUUUCUUUUUCUCAUCAAAGUAGCAAAGUUUGACUUGAAUCGUCUUUUGUGGAAAGUGACAAGUUUGUCAUGGUCAAUGAGUCACUCCCAACUUAUUUGUUAUGCCUUAUUUGUCAUCUCACUUUUAAUGAACUUUUGAAUAUAAUUAGUUAAAACUUUGUUAAUUUAAAUUUCAAAUUUAUAAAUUAGUUAAGAUGAGCAAACGAUUCUGGAUUAUAUAUCAGAAUUAGGCACUAAAGCUACUUGAUGCAAAGUAAACUAUAGAUGUGUUGGAUCCAGUUCUUCAUUGCUUGGAGUUCAUUAACUUUUUCAGAAUUUUUCGAAAGUGAUAUCAAUAUUUUACGAAGUAAACAAAUGAAUAAAUUAUUGUAUUGCUAGAUGAUAUGUUUUUCAUAUUUAUAACGACAACAUUGCCAGUAGAAUUCCACAAGUGGGUAUGAAUUUUUUAUAUAUAUUUUUUUCAUACUUAUAUCUUAUGAUAAAUAAAAUAAGAAAAAUAAUGUAUAUGUAGAUGUUCAUUCUUUUUUUGAUUAAAAGAGGAGAUGUUAUAUCAUAAUAUUAUAUAUGCAUCAAAACAAAUAGAGGUGGCUGCAUUAUGGCUAGCGCAUGAGUUAUCAGGCCACAUAAUGUGAUUACAAUUCAAAUUACAUUGAGGCUUAUAGGCUUGCGGAGAGGAUUUUUUACUUUUGCUGCUUCUAGUAUCUUCUAAACAAAUCACGGUGGAACUCUCCAUUCCUCAAAACGCUAGUCCAAUUUCAUCUUCUGGCCUUCUUCUCUUUUUUUUUACGCAAUGCGUGACACCCAAGCAGACGUGCCCUCGGCCUAAUGGCUUCGGGCACUUUAUUCUUUCCUUGAGGCUCAUGCAUGAUUGGAUUCCUCAUCCUAUUAAUCAAAUCCCUGUAUUCAUUUAAAAUAUUUGUGUGAGUAUUUCUUUAGUUUUGAAGAAAGUUAAUUACCUCGUGUGAGUCAGUUGCUAUCUCCAACUGUUGAACCUGUAAUUUUUCAGCUUGAAGAAGUUCAUAUAAUAAAGAUGAUAGUUUAGCAUUUGUUGAUGAGUUUACAUUAAAUUUUGCACUAUAUCAUUUGUUCAAUAUAAAAUCGUCCCCCUUCACAUAGUUCAUGAUCAAAAUUGGAUCAUUUCUCUUGUUUCGGAGCAAACAUUAGUAAGAAAAGUAGUUAUGAAUUAUUUAGCUAAUUGAAGGGUAUUUUAAAACUAAUUGUCCAAUGAAAAUGAAUUUUGUUUUACCCAAAACAUAAUAAAAAUAAGCAAUUGUUAUAUUAAAAUAUUAUAUAAAAAGUAAAUACUACUGCAUUCAUCCCUAUUUAUUUGUCAAAUAUUUUCUAAUUUGAUUUUCCUUUUUACUUGUCAUUUUUGAUAAAUUAAGAAAUGACAAUUUAUUUUUUCCUAUUAUACCCUCAAUUUAUUAACACCGAGUUCAAAUUUUUGAAAAAUAUAAUGAGUGUAAUAUUUUAAAUUAUAUCAAUUAAUCGAAAUAAAAUGAUAAAUUCACUAUAUCAAUAAAUAUUUUUUUAAUAGAUGCGCCAAGUCAUAUGUAGACCUUAUAUGUCUUUCUUGUACACGUGCCCCUACAUUGAACCAAUGGCAGAUGUAUGUUAUGAAUUAUGGGUGCUUAAGCAUCCAUUGCUUUUUGCAAUAAACACUAAUAUUUGUUGGUAAUAUCUAAUAAUUUAUUCAAAUAUAUUAACUAAGCACCCACUUUAUAUAGCAAUUCUCAAACUAAAAAUAAUUGAGCACCCAUGAAAUAAAAUUUCUGGAUCCGCCACUGCAUUGAACAGACUACAUUAGAAAAUAGGUAAGGGUGCCAAUGGUCUACAAUAUUUCUAUGAGUUAUUUUAUAAAAUUUAUGUUAUAUUAUUUUAUUAAUUAUUAUUUUUGAUAUAGUAAAAUUAAACCUUUUGAAAUCAUCGCAAUAUCCAUGCGAUUCAAUUAGCUUUUGGUUGUUUCUUUUGUUUGUUAAAAUGUCUUGUAAGAAUCACAAAUAAAAUUUAGAACAUUCUACCAAGUAUAUUUCUGUAGGAUUUUGACAAAAUAUUCUAAACAUAAUUAAAAUUUAAGAGAAAACAUGAAUAAAGAUAAAGAAUAGAAAUGUAUUCAAAAGUAGUAUAAUACUCAUAAUCGUUUUCAUCACUCCCAACAUAAGAAAAUUUUCUGAUAUUUUAUUAUUUUUAAACUUAAUAUAUGUAUAAAAUAAAUUUUUGACACAUAAAUUUAUUCGUAUGAUAUGAUACUUUUUUAGAUUUAUUUUUAUAAAAACAUAAAUUUAUCUAGUUAUUCGAUACAAUUAUAUAUUUAUAUAGAAACAUACAAUUUUAUUAUAAGAAACAUAAAAUCAGUUUGAUACGAUCAAUGGCCAGAUCCAAAUUUUCACUUAGUGAGUUCAAAAUAUAAAUAGGUAAACAUACAAAGUAAUCAAGGAGCAUCAAUAUUUACAAUAUAAACAUAGAAAAUAAUUUUGACCUUAUAUAUGUAAUGUAAUUUUUAAAAUUAAGAGAGUUUGAAUGAACCCCUUUACAGAAUUCUAUUUUUGCCCCUGAAUACGAUAUGAUUCGAUUGGGGUAAUUAUUUGUAAAAAAUAUUUUUCAAUUUUAUCAUGUUUAUCUGGUCAAAUAUUUUUGGGAUAAGGGUUUGAAAAAUACCCCAACUUUGGUCGGAUUUACUGUUGCAAUACUAAACUUUCAUGAGGACCUAUUAUCUCCCUAGACUAUUUAAGAUGAGCAAACGAUUCUGGAUUAGAUAUCAAAAUUAGGCACUAAAGCUACUGGAUGCAAGGUAAACUAUAGAUAUGUUGGAUCCAGCUCUUCAUUGCUUGGAGCUAAUUAAUUUUUCCAGAAUUUUUCUAAAGUGAUAUCAAUAUUUUAAGAAGUAAACAAAUGAAUAAAUUAUUGAUGGAAUGUACGCGUCCACUAGUGAUCACAGGACCAGGUCCUUUGAUACAGUUAAAGUGCAGAAAUUAAAUAACUAGAAGUAAAAUAGGCAGAAGAGAUUUUACGUGGAAACCUCUUUGCUCAAGGGAGUAAAACCACGACCUGUCACAUAAGAUUUUCAACUGUUUUCACUAAUCUCCAAGCAAAAGUGUAUAAAUUUCAACUACACCAAUGAGACUAAACUCUUAAUCUCACACUAAGUAAUACGCCUAUUACUUACCGAGCCUAAGCAAUGCAUCCAUUGCCCACUAUAUUAACUAUCGCUAAUUAAUAUAGACUUCAAACAGUAAGACACAAAGUUAACUCUAACAAUGUUCUUACACUGAUUCACACAAGAGUUUGAAAUGUUUCUUAUAAGAGUGAAACGAAUCCUACAAGUUUAGCUCAAUACAAGCAUUCAAAACGACAACACACAUAGAUAGCACUCCUUCAGUUGAUCAGGUCCCUUGCUGUUUUUGAAGCUUGAUUUCUCUCUCUUUGAAUGAAUGAAUUAUCAAGUUGUUUGUCUCUUUAAUUAUAUCAAUCAAGAAGAGUUGUUGACCACUGGACAAACAACCUCGUCCUUUUCUAUUGGUGAAGUACACUGACAGCUCUACCAACAUCCUGAUAAGACAACUUUUCCAGUUAUACACCAUAUUGCACCUGGACGAGAACACUCUGUCAGAGACCGGGUCCCUGCCUUUGUGAGGGUCAUCAAAACACCUGAAAUACAUCAAUUAUUGUAUUGCUAUAUGAUAUGUUUUUCAUAUUUAUAACGACAACAUUUCCAGUAGAAUCCCACAAGUGGAUCUGAAUUUUUUUUUAAAAAAAAUCAUAUUUAUUUUAGAUACAUUGUAUACAAGUGAAUUCAUGUGUAUGGGAUACACCGACUCUCUCACUCAUUGCUCUCCUAUCUCACUUACCUCCCUCCUCUCUUGUUCGCCUCUAUCACUUGCCUUCCUCUCUCUCACUCGCCUUGCUCCCUAUGUAUUUGUAUUUCAGAAUGUAUGUGGUAUUUCAGAUAUUUGGAAUACACUGACACUCUCGCUCGCCUCCCUCCCUCCUAUCUAGUGUAAUAUUUGUGUGUUUAGAGUAUAUUUAGUAGAAAAAUACAUUUAUUUAAAUGUCUGACUUAAAAUUUAAUUUGAAAUUAUUCAUAAUGAGACAAUAUGCAAGUAUUUUAAGCUAGAGAGAGAAUAGUAAAUAUGACAAAGAAUAUUUACGUAAUUAGAUAGCUUUUCCAAAAGCUAAUCUAAUGUCAAUCCAUCAUAUCCAUCCUUCAACUCCAGUAAUUUGAUUCUCUUAUGGUCACUCCAAUAAAAAAUAUAUAAAAUAUUUCAAAGUUGACCAACCUAUAUUAUAUUCUUAGUAUCCAAGUUUCAAUACAAUAAUAUUGUUCUUAUAUAGAUUAAGUACAAAAUAAAAAAUUAUUUAGCUAUUCUCACUAUUUUUUGGGAUUAUAAUUGCAGUAAAUACAAGUGACAUUCCACACAUUGAUAAUGUAGCCUCUCCCCUUAAUAACACACCCCAUCCCCACCAUCUCAUACCCCUACCUCUCAUGAGCGGCUCAAGUAUACGGUUGCCUAAUGCAACAUUUGAACGGACAUCUUAAAUUUUAAUUUUUCUUGAGGACAUAUUAUUUUAAAUUUGUUAAAAGUCUAAUAAAAUUUUCCACUUAUAUAAAAAAGUUUAUAUUUUUUUUACAAAUAAACUCAAUAUUAUUUUAUAAUAAUAUCUUCAAACCUAUUAUUGCUUUAAAAAAGUCCCCUGGUCUAACGCUACUAGUUUCUUUUAGAUUUGUUAUAUGUGUACCGGGUUGGUUCGGGUUUUUCAAAUAUCAAAUCAAACCAUUUGUGUCGGAUUUUUAAAAUCUAUAAAUCAAACCAAACCAAUAAAACUCGGGUUUUUCAACUUUGGGGUAUAUUCGGGUUUUUUCGAGUUUUUUGGAUUUUUGGGUUUUUUCCGGAAAAAUAUUCAUACAAACAUAUAAUUUACUAGUACUUCAAAUAUUUCUUUAGUCCUACCAAAAUACAACUAUCUAAGGUGUUUCUUAAGAAAAUAGCACAAAAUGUUAUGAGUAAUGAUACUAAAAUAUCCAACAAAAAAAUAAUAAUAAUGAAAUCGCGUAAAACAAAUAUUGCAAAUUAACAAGUCAUAAUGAAAAUGAUCAUAAUUUAAAAGUACUAAAUCAUGCUAAAUAAGUUUAAUAAGUAUUAGUUACAUGACUAAAUAUUAAAGAAAAUUAAAAUUAGAUUAUGUAUUUGAAUAAACCAAUGUAAAACCAUAGAACAAAUAUUCAAUAUUAUUGUCAUUCUUAGUGUUGAAUUGAUUUUUUUUUGCUUUAGUAUUAAUUUAAUUUUGAUUUAAGCUUUAUUAUAACUACCAACAUCUGUGGACUAUAAUCUUUAUUGAACCAUUUAGAAUUCUAAAUUUCAAACUUGAAUUAAUAAUAUAUUAAAAGAUAAAAACUAUGAAAAAAGUUAUAAGAAAUAUUUAAAAAUUAUAUCAAAGUAAAUAUUUUUAUGUAAUAAAAUAAAAUUUUAAAAUUAUAUAUAUAAUGUCGGGUUGGUUUGGUCUCGGGUUGAAUUUUUUUAGUUAAAACCAAACCAAAUAUAGUCGGGUUCUUUUUUCCAAUACCAAACCAAGUCAAACCAACCACUAGUCCAAUUUUUUUCUCGGUUUGCGGUUUGAUUAGAUUUUCGAUUCGAUUUUGUACACCCCUAAGAUUUGUAGAGUCGUCCCUACCCCUUACUAUAUCUCAUAGUAUUUCUCUAAAUGAAUAAAUACUUUUUGAGAUAAUUAUUUUUACUUACAUAUCAAACACAAAUUUUAUUUUAUUUUUAAAAAUCCACUUAUUUCCUAUAAAAUAUUUUCAAAGGCAUCCAAAAUAUGUCUCGAGCUGGAACAAUUUUUCGAGAACUUAACAACACACUAGGGGUGUGCAUUCGGUUUUUCAGUUCGGUUUUGUGUUAUUCGGUUUGGGUUUUUCGGUUUGAAAAAGUAUAACCCAAUCCGAACCAAAAAAAAUUGGUUCGGUUCGGUUUUUCUCUUUUCGGUUUGGUUUUUUUCGGUUUGGCUAUUCGGUUAUAACUUAUUUCAUAACUAAUUAAUAACAUAAUCAAAGUUAUAUUUGCAUGCUUAAAAAAUAAAAAUUUCAUAUAAAACACACAAUAAAUUGUUUGUAUUUCAAAGAAAAAGAAAAUGACCCCAAUAAUUGGUACUGCAAAAAUAGUUUGGCAACAUGGACCAUAUUCAUAAGUACUAAUAGACACAUUUUGAAUUACUUAUCAUAAUUGUUUCUCGAGAGAGUCAAAUUAUAUAAAUUUUGAUUAAUUUCUAUUAUAUAUUUUUUUUCAUGAAAUUAAUAUAAAAAAUUAUAACUUAUAGUAUAAAAACCACAUUUCAGCACAGGAUUUUCCCAUCCUUGAACGAAUAAAGAGAUAAUAGUUGAGUGACCAAUUGAGAAAUUGCAAAAGAUGAGUACUAGUCAUAAAGCUCAUUGUUUGAUCUUGCCAUUUCAAGGCCAAGGUCAUAUCAACCCAAUGCUCCAAUUCUCCAAACGUUUACAAUCCAAACGUGUUGAAAUCACUAUAGCACUCACAAAAUCUUUUUUGAAAAACAUGAAAGAAUUGCCAACUUCUAUGUCAAUCGAGGCCAUAUCUGAUGGCUACGAUGAUGGUGGUUUCCACCAAGCAGGAACUUUCGUAGCCUACAUAACGCGAUUCAAAGAAGUUGGCUCGGAUACUCUGUCUCAGCUUAUUCAAAAAUUAGCAAAUAGUGAAUGCCCUGUAAAUUGCAUAGUAUAUGAUCCAUUCCUUCCUUGGGCUGUUGAAGUGGCAAAGAAUUUUGGAUUAAUUAGUGCUGCAUUUUUCACACAAAAUUGUGCAGUGGAUAAUAUUUAUUACCAUGUACAUAAAGGGGUAAUAAAACUUACACCUACUAAAAAUGAUGAAGAAAUAUUAAUUCCUGGAUUAUCAUGUACAAUUGAGAGUUCAGAUGUACCUACUUUUGUUAUUAGUCCUGAAGCAGAAAGAAUACUUGAAGUGAUGGUAAAUCAAUUUUCAAAUCUUGACAAAGUGGAUUGGGUCCUAAUCAACAGCUUCUAUGAGUUGGAGAAACAGGUAACAUAUUUUUGUCGUUUUGGUGCUUCUUCUGUCUUUUUAACCAUUUAUAUAGAUGUUUAAUCAAAGUUAUACAAAAUUGAAGUGACAAAAUCAUAUGUUCAUUAAGGUUGUUAUAGUUUUCGUAGUAGCAAGAAUUAUUUUGGUCUCAUUUUGGUUGGAAUUAAGUGUACAACAUAUCUAACCUAUGUUUUUCUUUGUCUGUUCCAUUUCGCCUAAUUCACUAAAUCUUAUGAUUAUGACUAUAUAUUGAAUGUCUUUCUUAAAGGGGUGUCUGACCACUAUUUAGGUUAAUUCUUUUUUUAAUAAAUGUUCUCAAACAAACUUUUAAUACAUGUUAGAAUUUCGAAAGGAGUACUAAAAAAAAAUCAAGAGAUUCAAGAUAUAUCUUAUUUUGCUUGUAGGUAAUUGAUUAUAUGUCCAAGAUAUAUCCAAUCAAGACAAUUGGACCAACAAUACCAUCAAUGUACUUAGACAAGAGACUACAUGAUGACAAAGAGUAUGGUCUUAGUAUCUUCAAACCAAUGACAAAUGAAUGCCUAAAUUGGUUAAACCAUCAACCAAUUAACUCAGUGGUGUAUGUAUCAUUUGGAAGUAUAACCAACUUAGAAGCUGAGCAAAUGGAAGAAUUGGCAUGGGGUUUGAAGAAUAGCAACAACAACUUCUUGUGGGUUGUUAGGUCUACUGAAGAAUCCAAACUUCCCAAGGACUUUUUAGAGGUGUUGACACCCAAUUUUGGCCUAAUAUUUUCAAAAUUCGUAACUUUUAAGUUUUAUUUAUUUAAUAGUUCAAAAAAAAAGGGAUAGUUAGAAGAGAAGUUAUUGAAGAAUGUAUAAAAUUAGUGAUGGAAGAAGAGAAAGGAAAAUUAAUUAGGGAAAAUACAAAGAAAUGGAAAGAAUUGGCUAGAAAUGUUGUGGAUGAAGGAGGAAGUUCAGAUAAAAAUAUUGAAGAAUUUGUUUCCAAGUUGGUUACUAUAUCCUAAGUAAUUAAGAAGUUAAUUAAGAGCCAUAAAAAAUAAUUAAGAAGUUGGUUUGUCUUUUGUAAUUUCUUUUUCUCAUCAAAGUAGCAAAGUUUGACUUGAAUCUUCUUUUGUGGAAAGUGACAAGUUGUUAUGUUAUGCUUUAUUUGUUAUCUUACUUUUAAUGAACUUUUAAAUAUAAUUAGCUAAAACUUUGUUAAUUUAAAUUUCAAAUUUAUAAAUUAAUUAAGAUGAGCAAAUGAUUCUGGAUUAGAUAUCAGAAUUAGGCACUAAAGCUACUUAAUGCAAGAUAAACUAUAGAUAUGUUGGAUCCAGCUCUUCAUUGCGUGGAGCUAAUUAAUCUUUCCUCAAUUUUUCGGAAGUGAUAUCAAUAUUUUUAGAAGUAAACAAAAGAAUAAAUUAUUGUAUGGCUAGAUGAUAUGUUUUUCAUAUUUAUAACGACAACAUUUCCAAUAGAAUCCUACAGAUGAAUCUGUAUUUUUAUUUUUAUUUUCAUAUUUAUUUUAGAUAUAUUGUAUAUAAGUGAAUUCAUGUGUAUGGGAUACACCGACUCUCUCACUCAUUGCUCUCCUAUCUCACUUACCUCCCUCCUCUCUUGCUUGCCUCUAUCACUUGCCUUCCUCUCUCUCACUCACCUUGCUCCCUAUGUAUUUGUAUUUCAGAAUGUAUCUGGUAUAUAUUCCAGCUACGUGUAUCUAGUGUAAUUUGCAUGUAUUUGAGAUACACUGACACUCUCGCUCGUCUCUCCCCUUAUUUAUCUGUGUGUUUAGAGUGUAUUUAGUAGAAAAAUAUAUUUAUCUAGAUGUAUCCGACUUAAAAUUUGAUAUGAAAUUAUUCUUAGUGAGACGAUAUUUAAAUAUUUUAAGGUAGAGAGAGAAAAUAUUUACGUAAUUAGAUAGUUUUUCCAAAAGCUAAUCCAAUGCCAAUCCAUCAUAUCCAUCCUUCAACUCCAGUAAUUUGAUUCUCUUAUAGUCACUCCACUCCAAAAAAAAAAUAUAUAAAAUAAUUCAAAAUUGACCUACCUAUAUUAUAUUCUUGGUAUCCAAGUUUCAAUAAUAUAAUAUUGUUCUUAUAUAGAUUAAGAACAAAAUAAAAAAAUAUUUAGCUAUUCUCACUAUUUUUUGGGAUUAUAAUUGCAGUAAAUCAUGAUUCAACAAUACCACUGAUAUUUUGUGAAUACUAUUAAAGAUACAAGUAAUCACAGUAUUCAUGGUAUAUUAGAUAAUAAACAAAUAAAAUAUUUAGUAUAUUGAUAUAAAAAUAGUACUCACUUCCUUUGUUUCAAUUUAUUUUUCUUAUUUAUUUUUUAAAUACGUCUCAAAAAGAAUAUUUCUUUCCUUUCUUGGAAAUUCUUUAAUUCUAACUUUCCAUAUGACGUGUUUAAAACUACAAGAUUAAGUGACAUUUUGAUACAUUCUAUGUAUAUUUAAUUAAUCUAAAACCACAAGAUUAAAAAAGAAAAUCUUAAAUUUUGUGUCAAGUCAAAAUAAAAAAUAAAUAAAUUGAAAUGACAUAAAUAGUAUAUCAUUUGUUCAAUAUAAAAUCGUCCCCUUUCAAAUAAUUCAUGAUCAAAAUUGGCUCAUUUCUCUUGUUUUGGAGCAAUCAUUAGUAAGAAAAGUAUUUAUGAAUUAUUAAGUUAAUUAAAGGGUAUUUUUAAACUAGUUGUCUAACGAAAAUGAAUUUUGUUUUACCUAAAACAUAAUAAAAAUAAGCAAUUGUUAUAUUAAAAUAUUAUAUAAAAAGUAAAUACUACUACAUUCGUCCCUAUUUAUUUGUCAAAUAUUUUCUAAUUUGAUUUUUCUUUUUUACUUGUCAUUUUUGACAAAUCAAGAAAUGACAAUUUAUUUUUUCCUAUUAUACCCUCAAUUUAUUAACACCGUGUUCAUAUUUUUUAAAAAUGUAAUGAGUGUAAUAUUUUGAAUCAUAUCAAUUAAUAAGGACAAAAUGAUAAACUCACUAUAUCAAUAAAUAUUUUUUAAUAGAUGCGCCAAGUCAAAUGUAGACCUUAAAUAUCUAGAUCAAUGGCUACAAUUAUAUAUUUAUAUAGAAACUUAAGAUUUUAUUAUAACAAACAUAAAAUCAGUUUGAUUCGAUCAAUGGCUAGAUCCAGAUUUUCACUUAGAGAGUUCAAAAUAUAAAUAGGUAAAUAUACAAAGUAAUCAAGGAGCAUCAAUAUUUACAAUAUAAACAUAGAAAAUAAUUCUGACCUUAUAUAUGUAAUGUAAUUUUCAAAAUUAAAAGAAUUUGAAUGAACCCUUUACAGAACUCUAGUUUUGCCCAUGAAUACGGUAUGAUUCGAAUGGGGCAAUUAUUUGUAAAAAAUAAUUUUCAAUUUUAUCAUGUUCAUCUGGUCAAAUAUUUUAAAAAAGAAUUCUCUAAAAAAACAAGUUCAUUAAAAAUGAAUAGAAUAAGCUUCCUAAUGAAAGUAGGAAAAACAAAUUCUUCUACAAGUGACGUUCCACAUUGAUAAUGUCAUCCCCUCCCCGCACCUCAUCUCGCUCGCCACUCUCCCAGAUCUCGCUCGCCACUCUCCCAGAUCUCGCUCGCCACUCUCCCAGAUCUCGCUCGCCACUCUCCCAGAUCUCGCUCGCCACUCUCCCAGAUCUCGCUCGCCACUCUCCCAGAUCUCGCUCGCCACUCUCCCAGAUCUCGCUCGCCACUCUCCCAGAUCUCGCUCGCCACUCUCCCAGAUCUCGCUCGCCACUCUCCCAGAUCUCGCUCGCCACUCUCCCAGAUCUCGCUCGCCACUCUCCCAGAUCUCGCUCGCCACUCUCCCAGAUCUCGCUCGCCACUCUCCCAGAUCUCGCUCGCCACUCUCCCAGAUCUCACUCGCUCACUCGCCUCUCUCACUUUAUACAAACACAAAUGUAUACAUUGUGUUUGUGUUUGUAUAAAACAAGAGAAAAUUGUAUAUACAAAUACAAAUGCAUAUAUUUUCGUCCUAUACACUUAUGAUUAUACAAAUACGAUCUUCCCCUGCCCAGUUUUCUUUUGUCUUUCUCUCUUUCUCGCCUUAUACAAACACAAAUUAUACAAUUGAUCUUUUGUAUAUGUAUACCAAAGCAGAUUAUACAACUGCUUUCUUUUGCAUAUGUAUAGCGAAAUUAUACAACUGUUUUCUUUUGUAUAUGUAUAGCGAAAUAUAUAUAUUUAUAUUUGCUAUAGAGCGCAAUUAUGCAAACUAUAGUUAUAGCAUACAAAUAUGAUUUUUGUGUUUGCUAUAUGUGAAAGUAUCACCUGAUCUAAGAUUUGUAGAUUUGUAGAGUCACCCCCACCCCUUACUAUAUCUCAUAGUAUCUCUAAAUGAAAUACAAAUACUUUUAAGAUAAUUAUUUAAAAAAAAUCAUCUUAUUUACUAUAAAAUAUUUUCCAAGGCAUCCAAAAUAUGUCUCGAGCUGGAACAAUUUUUCGAGAAUUUAACACCACACAAUAAAUUGUUUGUAUUUCAAAAAUAAUUUGGCAAUAUGGACCAUAUUCAUAAGUACUAAUAGACACAUUUUGAAUUACUUAUCAUAAUUGUUUCUCGAGAGAGUCAAAUUACAUAUAUUUUGAUAUAUUUCUAUUAUAUAUUUUUUUCAAGAAAUAAUAUAAAAAAUUAUAACUUAUAGUAUAAAAACCACAUUUCGCCACAGGAUUUUCCCAUCCUUCAACGAAUAAAAUAACUUUCUAAGAUAAUACUUGAGUGACCAAUUGAGAAAUUGCAAAAGAUGAGUACUAGUCACAAAGCUCAUUGCUUGAUUUUACCCUAUCCAUUUCAAGGUCAUAUUAACCCAAUGCUUCAAUUCUCCAAACGUUUACAAUCCAAACAUGUUGAAAUCACUAUAGCACCUACAAAAUCCUUCUUGAAAAAAAUGAAAGAACUGCCAACUUCUGUGUCAAUCGAGGCCAUAUCUGAUGGCUACGAUGAUGGUGGCAUCGACCAAGCAAAAACAUAUGAAGCCUACCUAACGCGAUUCAAAGAAGUUGGCUCAGAUACUCUGUCUCAGCUUAUACAAAAAUUGGAAAAUAGUGGAUGUCCUGUAAAUUGCAUAGUAUAUGAUCCAUUUCUCCCUUGGGUUGUUGAAGUGGCAAAAAAAUUUGGAUUAAUUAGUGCUGCAUUUUUCACACAAAAUUGUACUGUGGAUAAUAUUUAUUACCAUGUACAUAAAGGGGUAAUAAAACUUCCACCUACUCAAAAUGAUGAAAAAAUAUUAAUUCCUGGAUUUUCAUGUCCAAUUGAGGCAUCAGAUGUACCUACUUUUGUUAUUUAUCCUGAAGGAGAAAGAAUACUUCAAGUGUUGGUCAAUCAAUUCUCAAAUCUUGAUAAAGUUGAUUGGAUUCUAAUCAACAGCUUCUAUGAGUUGGAGAAAGAGGUAACAAUUUUUUUUCCGUUUUGGUGCUUCUUCGGUUUUUUCAACCAUUAAUAUAAAAAAUGAACUGACAAAAUCAUAUGUUCAUUAAGGAUGUUAUAGUAUUCGUGGUAGCAAGAAUUUAUGAUUAUGACUAUAUAUUGAAUGUUUUUCUUAAAAGGGUGUCUGACGACUAUUUAGGUUAAUUCUUUUUUUAAUAAAUGUUCUCAAAGAAACUUUGAAUACAUGUUAGAAAGGAGUAUUAAAAAAAAUUCAAGAGAUUUCAAGAUAUAUCUUAUUUUGUUUAUCAUGUAGGUAAUUGAUUGGAUGUCCAAGAUAUAUCCAAUAAAGACAAUUGGACCAACAAUACCAUCAAUGUACUUAGACAAGAGACUACAUGAUGACAAAGAGUAUGGUCUUAGUAUCUUCAAACCAAUGACAAAUGAAUGCCUAAAUUGGUUAAAUCAUCAACCAAUUAGCUCAGUGGUGUAUGUAUCAUUUGGAAGUUUAGCCAAAUUAGAAGCUGAGCAAAUGGAAGAAUUAGCAUGGGGUUUGAAGAAUAGCAACAACAACUUCUUGUGGGUUGUUAGGUCCACUGAAGAAUCCAAACUUCCCAAGAACUUUUUAGAGGAAUUAACAAUUGAAAAAGGACUAGUGGUGUCAUGGUGUCCACAAUUACAAGUGUUGGAACAUGAAUCGAUAGGAUGUUUUCUGACGCACUGUGGGUGGAAUUCAACUUUGGAAUCGAUUAGUAUGGGAGUGCCAAUGGUGGCAAUACCACAAUGGACAGAUCAACCAACAAAUGCAAAACUUGUGAAGGAUGUUUGGGAAAUAGGUGUUAGAGCCAAACAAGAUGAAAAGGGUAUAGUUAGAAGAGAAAUUAUUGAAGAAUACAUAAAAUUAGUAAUGGAAGAAGAGAAAGGAAAAUUAAUUAGGGAAAAUGCAAAGAAAUGGAAGGAAAUGGCUAGAAAUGUUGUGGAUGAAGGAGGAAGUUCAGAUAAAAAUAUUGAAGAAUUUGUUUCCAAGUUGGUGACUAUUUCUUAAGUAUGGAAUUAAAUAAGAGUCAUAAAAAAUAAUUAAUAAGUUGAUUUGCAUUUUGCAAUUUCUUUUUUUUUUAAUUAAAGUCGCAAAGUUUGACUUAUAUUCCAUGAAUAUUAUUUUAAUUAUACAAAAUUGCUUCACUAAUUCAAAUAUUACAUUAACUUACUAACUUAUUCGAGGUUAUAAUACAUUAUACAUGCUCAACAAUCUAACCCGAUCGUUAUGAAUAGGUCCAUAGGGAAAGAAAUUGGGCCAGAAAUUUUUUUGGAUAGUAAUUUGAAAUUCUUGGCUAGACCAGUCUUAGAUGAAAUCUGGGCUAGGUGAGGUCUAGGGCUAUCCGGGAAGGAUGGGGUAUUUUGUUGAGAUUCGACUCAUGUAUACUUGUAGUCAAGACAUAAAAGAGUCCAUAAUAUAAGGCCUUUACGAUUGACUCGGAUACCACGCUUGAUAUGACACUGAAGUUUGAUUUGGGUUCCGUAAGAGAAUCAGGUAUGCGAUAUGGUUCCAUGAGAGGAUCAGGCUUUGGCAUUAUAUAUUAUCACGAUCUGAGUCUACAUCACAGCCGAGACAUGGCACAUGAAACCACAAGUGAUCCCAAGCUAACCCUUGACAUAUCAUAUCUAAGCAUAGCAUAUGAAAACUGAAGCAGAAGCUAUAAAUUGAAAGCAUAAUUGAAAUAAAGUUCAAGAAUAAGUCUAUUACAAUUGAAUACUAAUGUCUAAAAGCCUCUAAACUGAAUAAAGCGAUUUGUCGAGACAAGACCCCAGACUGCUUGAAAAACUAACACAACUAAAGUGAAUAAAAUAUAGUCACCCAUAACGGAAGUCCUCUGAAUGCAAUGAAGACUCACUACAAUGCUAAAAGUAGAGGAACUUAGUGGAACGUCUUCUCGCAAAUCUAAAUCAAGAUGCUAAAAUCUACAUCAUAAAACAAUGUAUCGCAAAGUAGAGUCAAUAUAUGGAAUAUAUUGAUAUGCAGGGUAAGGACUGAGAUGAACAAUUAUAUGAGAAACUGAAAGAACUAUAAAUCUGAGCAUGAGUUAUACACAAACAAUAGCUAAAGAAUUGGGAGUCAAAAACACCAAAUUUUAUGUGGAAAAAUCCUUCAAAUCGAAGAUAAUAAUCAAGGAAUUGUCGAGAUCCAAAUUGUUUCACUAGUCAAUAGGAGGGUUAAAAAUAUUCUCCUAAAUGGCUACACAACAAUUGCCAAACACAAAAGCAAUAGAUACACCAACAAAAGUAAAUAGAAAGAAUACACCCAAACUCGUUUGUUGUUCGGGACUUGAAAUUGGACUAUGCUGACCACUGAAUCUGAUAGACACCAUUCCAAACCAAAGACCAAGAUGUUAGGAACACUCAAUAAAAGUUUUAGUCUGAUCAAACGAUUAACAAAUUAGGAAAUAUGAUUUAAAGGUUGCUAGUCGGAGAAAAAGACUACAGAAAAAAAAUCAUUUUCUUCUCUCUUCUUUCUUGUUGAAAAUUCUCUCAAAAAUCUCUCUUUUGUGCAAAUAGUAAUGAACAAUUGAAUAAUUCUCUCAAAUGAUAAUUUCUAGAUAACGAAUUGGUGUUUUUCUUCUAAAAUCAAAACCAACUUCAAAUAGGACCAAAAUUUCAAUCAUUUUUCAAACAAGAUUAAAAUUCCAUCUUUUCCAAAUAGGAUUGAAAAAAAAGAAAAAAAAAUAGAAUUAGGUCAUGGGUCUGUGGCUGGAACAUGAGCCAUAACCCAACAGUAUUGUCUGAUGAACGAUGACUUUUUCAUUUAGAGUAAAGUCAUUGCCAACCUCUGUCCUACCUAUAUCUGUAAAAAGGAAUCAAUCACUAAGUUCUGAGCAAUAAAAGUUGGUAUCGACAAUAUAUUGUUACUACUUUUAUAGAAGAGUUUACAAGUAUGCAUGUCUUCGUCAACAUGCCUACUUGUAUGGCGAAGAGUAUUUUUGAUAUUUUUUAGUUCUUGUUCUUUAAAACUUGAGUUAAAAAUCUACUUAAAUUAUCUUUUGUUUAAUUAGUCUCAUAUCUAAAUUGUGUUUGUCAAACUAAUAAGUAAAUUUUUAACUGUAUUUCUCACACUCACAACAAUUUAGCUAUGAAACUCGAAAAACAAAUAGUUUAAAUGUGUUUUUGGAAGUAUCUUGCUGCUUAUUUUAUGUACUUUUUCUCUGUUGUACUUGGACACAAAAAAAAACAAUAUUUGCAUAGUGACCUGUAUUUCCCCAUUAAAGAUAUAGACUUUUAGUUGAGACAUUGACCUACUUUUCCAUUUAAUAUUGGGAAAAGGAUCUCUCAACUUUCAUUUAUUAGUUGAUUUUACUUUUAUCGUUAAAAUAAAGUUAUUUCAUGACAUUUCAUUAGGAAAGGAGUAUAUUUUGAGGAAAAUAGAAAUAAUUGGGUGAUAUUUAGAUCCUAAAAAAACAAAAGUGAUAUUAUAGGACAAAUUCUCAAACAAGAGUGACUAUCUAAAGAAAUUACCCUCAAAUUUCUCUGCAUGACAUAAAUUGAGACAAAAAAAAUAACAUAUAUUGAGUUCAUGCUGCCACGAGCUCCUAUAACUAGUAUUGGUAAGAUUUAUAUGUCACUAGUACAUUGUACCCAAUAAUUGCCUUAUGUCAUUGCACAUGUUGGCAAUAAAAAGUUGGAAUAUACAAUAGGAAGAAGCCAACACACUUUGUAAGGCAUAUUGAUCCAAAUUGUACACUUCAACUCUAUCGACUAACUAUAAGAACCACAAGAUUUUCCCAUCCAUAAAUUGUCAUUCCUUCAAUUGAGAAGUUGCAUAAGAUUUUAAGAAGAACGAAAACGAUUUCUACAUCGUACUUACUAGGGUUGAUUUCUCAGAUAAUUAUUUAGCUUAAGUUGAUCAUAAAGCAUCUUUCUUCUUGAUUGAUUUUUCCUUCAGCCAUUAAUUGAGAAGUAGCAAGAGAUGACUACUCACCAGGCUCACUGUUUGAUUUUGUCAUAUCCAGUCCAAGGUCAUAUCAACCCAAUGCUCCAAUUCUCCAAACGUUUACAAUCCAAACGUGUUAAAAUCACUAUAGCACUCACAAAAUCCUUUUUGAAAAACAUGAAAGAAUUGCCAACUUCUAUGUCAAUCGAGGCCAUAUCUGAUGGCUAUGAUGAUGGUGGUCGCGAUCAAGCAGGAUCUUUCGUUGCCUAUGUUACACGAUUCAAAGAAGUUGGCUCGGAUACUCUUUCUCAACUUAUUCAAAAAUUGGCAAAUAGUGGAUGCCCUGUAAAUUGCAUAGUAUAUGAUCCAUUCCUCCCUUGGGCUGUUGAAGUUGCAAAGAAUUUUGGAUUAAUUAGUGCUGCAUUUUUCACACAAAAUUGUGCUGUGGAUAACAUUUAUUACCAUGUACAUAAAGGGGUAAUAAAACUUCCACCUACUCAAAAUAAUGAAGAAAUAUUAAUUCCUGGAUUUUCAAGUCCAAUUGAGGCAUCAGAUGCACCUACUUUUGUUAUUGAUCCUGAAGCAGAAAGAAUACUUGAAAUGUUGGUCAAUCAAUUCUCAAAUCUUGACAAAGUGGAUUGGGUCCUAAUCAAUAGUUUCUAUGAGUUGGAAAAAGAGGUAACAUAUUCUUUGGAGUAUUUUUUUUUCUUUUAUGUAUAUAUAGUAGAUAUUGAAUCUCCUCUACUUUUUCGUAUGUUUACUUCUUCAUAUUUUGAAUCUUCCUAGUGAAAAUCCUGACUCAACCACUGACAAUAGAGAAAACAUUGAAGGAAUUAAAUCACAUAAUACCUCAGAC